CGGCAGCGAAGUGGGUGAUGUCAAGCUUCCAAGAAAAGCCCUAUACCCGUUAAGGCAUGACGGCCUGUACCUGAAACCGACACAGGUGGGGUGGUAGAGAAUACCGAGGGGCGCGAGGCAACUCUCUCUAAGGAAGUCGGCAAAAUGGCCCCGUAACUUCGGGAGAAGGGGUGCCACCGCAAGGUGGUCGCAGUGAAGAGGCCCAGGCGACUGUUUACCAAAAACACAGGUCUCCGCUAAGUCGCAAGACGAUGUAUGGGGGCUGACGCCUGCCCAGUGCCGGAAGGUUAAGGAAGCUGUCAGCGCAAGCGAAGCUAGCGACUGAAGCCCCGGUGAACGGCGGCCGUAACUAUAACGGUCCUAAGGUAGCGAAAUUCCUUGUCGGGUAAGUUCCGACCCGCACGAAAGGCGUAACGAUCUGGGCGCUGUCUCGGAGAGAGGCUCGGCGAAAUAGAAUUGUCUGUGAAGAUGCGGACUACGUGCACCCGGACAGAAAGACCCUAUGAAGCUUUACUGUAGCUUGGUAUUGUGCCCGGGCUCUGAAUGCGCAGGAUAGGUGGGAGGCUUUGAUCCAUUGCUUGUGGGUGAUGGUGAGCCACUGGUGAGAUACCACUCUUUCAGAGCUAGGGUUCUAACGGUCACCCGUUAUCCGGGGACCGGACAGUAUCAGGUGGGCAGUUUGACUGGGGCGGUCGCCUCCUAAAAGGUAACGGAGGCGCGCAAAGGUUCCCUCAGGCUGGUUGGAAAUCAGCCGACGAGUGUAAAGGCAGAAGGGAGCUUGACUGUGAGACCUACAAGUCGAACAGGGACGAAAGUCGGCCUUAGUGAUCCGACGGUUCUGAGUGGAAGGGCCGUCGCUCAACGGAUAAAAGUUACUCUAGGAUAACAGGCUGAUCUCCCCCAAGAGUUCACAUCGGCGGGGAGGUUUGGCACCUCGAUGUCGGCUCAUCGCAACCUGGGGCUGAAGUCGGUCCCAAGGGUUGGGCUGUUCGCCCAUUAAAGCGGUACGCGAGCUGGGUUCAGAACGUCGUGAGACAGUUCGGUCCAUAUCCGGUGCACGCGCAGGAACAUUGAGAGGAUUUCUCCCUAGUACGAGAGGACCGGGAGGAACGCACCUCUGGUGUACCAGUUAUCGUGCCAACGGUAAACGCUGGGUAGCCAUGUGCGGAGUGGAUAACCGCUGAAAGCAUCUAAGUGGGAAGCCCACCUCAAGAUGAGCGUUCCCAUGGCAGAAGCCAGUAAGGUCACGGGAAGAACACCCGUUGAUAGGCUCUACGUGGAAGCGCGGCAACGCGUGAAGCGGAGGAGUACUAAUAGACCGAGGGCUUGACCAA
rnacentral:rRNA from 1 species